UUGUCCCUGCGGUGUUCGAGACUAGGCCAUAUAUUCUCUGAACCUAUGCUUUACGGCAUAAGGUUGCAAUGGCUCUCCGGUGGGUGUGAUCGUCUCUCUGUCAGACGAACUCAAAACCGGGCUAGCGCGACCACCUUGAACUCUAGGGUUCGAGAUGCCGGCCUUGACGGCACAUGCGGGGCAUUU
rnacentral:other from 1 species